rnacentral:rRNA from 1 species
UCGGGAUAACAACCUGGAAACAGAUGCUAAUAACCGGAUAACAACAGAUGAUGCCUAUCAACUGUUUAAAAGAUGGUUCUGCUAUCACUCUUGGAUGGACCUGCGGUGCAUUAGCUAGUUGGUAGGGUAACGGCCUACCAAGGCGAUGAUGCAUAGCCGAGUUGAGAGACUGAUCGGCCACAUUGGGACUGAGACACGGCCCAAACUCCUACGGGAGGCAGCAGGU